ensembl:lncRNA
GUUUUGGAGAUCACGUUGAAUAUGGAGAUAUAGUAUUUUUGAACGUGCAAUUAUAGGGCUUUUACUUUCGAGAAAUCUCCAAAUCUGUACAGUAAAAAUGUUUCAAAUUCAGCAUGGUAGUGGUCAGAGAGGUCCUUAACACAGGUACAUUGAUCUUGGAACUAUUAGGAAAUCUGUUUUUAUUGCAGCUCAAUUAUGGAGAACUGGUGUUUUUGAAAUGUCAAUUAUAGGGCUUUUACUUUAGAGAAAUCUCCAAUUUUUUACUGUACAAAUAUUUAUUUUAUUGUACACCAGUAGUCCUGUAGGCCUACACACAUACUUCUAUUAUUGUCUGGAAUUUGCUAUUUAAAUGGCCUUUUUUCGGGUUACUUGUUCAAUACCGUAAAUGUAAGCAUAUACGUGCACUAAAAUUCAAGCGUCGGCUGCGUUGACCAAGGAAAUCCGAGUGUCGGCUGAGUUGACCGCAGUUCUUUAGACUCUACCUCCACUAAAACACUAACUAACUGCAGCACUUAAAUUGUACUUAUAACGCCACUUAUCUAUAGCAAGUUGUAAAUUGGAUUAUUUGAGGAAAUUGCACUUUCUUGUUUCUUUUUCUUCUGAGUUUGUACCCUUAUGGUUAAAUGCACUUAUUGUAAGUCGCUUUGGAUAAAAGCGUCUGCUAAAUGACAUGUAAUGUAAUGUAAUGUAAUGUAAUGUAAAAGAAGUCAACACUGAGUCUGAAGCAAAAGUACAAUACCGGCUUCAACAUGCAGCCACUUAUUGCGCAAAAACGACUUCCGACGUCCGACUUCCACUAAAGGUUUCCAGAUGUGGAAGGAGUCGAGGGCUGAAUGCUGGACUGAACUGAAUAUAUGAUAUAAUAACACAUCUGUACGCAGGGCUGGACAAGUGGUUUGUGACGACGCGCACCAUUAUAACACGACAGCACGUCCGGGGGGAGACGAGGGCUCCGGGCUGCUGCUCUUCCGGACUCUCCUCUCGCAGAGGGAGGACCCGGGAACGCCGCCAGGGGCUGACUGUCCGCCCGUCUGUCCGCCCGUGUCUCUGCACGUCUGCGUGUCCCUCCGCCCAUCCGCCUGUCUCUCUGCACGCGCCACUCCGCCGACACCGACCCGACGAGCUCCCCGCCCGAAGAAAGGAGAAAAGUUACCCGACUCGCAGCCGACAUGUCUCAGCUGCUCAGCAGCUCACAGCUGGAGUCUAGCUGGUGAACUAAUGGUGACAGUGACAGAACUCCAGGGAACCGAGACAACUACAAAAGAGUCCAAAUUGGGGGACAUUGAUCAGGUGGACACGUAGUCUUACUAAUGAAUAAUCAUGUUGCUCUGUAACUGCUGGAUGAUCUGCAUUAAGGGCGCAGGGGGGAUCACUGCAAUGGCUUAAUUCAAAUAAAUAGUUUUGUUAAUCCCUCGUAACAAACAGAACUUUAGUCAUAUCCAUUUUCUGUGCAAAACUAAAUGUAAACAAUUACAUUUGGCAAGUCAAACAAUAGC